CAUGCAUGUCUCAGUACAAGCCAAAUUAAGGUGAAACCGCGAAAGGCUCAUUAAAUCAGUUAUGGUUCCUUAGAUCGUACCCACAUUUACUUGGAUAACUGUGGUAAUUCUAGAGCUAAUACAUGCAAACAGAGCUCCGACCGGAAACGGAAGGAGCGCUUUUAUUAGAUCAAAACCAAUCGGUGUCGGGUUCGCUCGUCAUCGUACAACUUGGUGACUCUGAAUAACUUUAAGCUGAUCGCACGGUCUAGCACCGGCGACGCAUCUUUCAAAUGUCUGCCUUAUCAACUGUCGAUGGUAGGUUCUGCGCCUACCAUGGUUGUAACGGGUAACGGGGAAUCAGGGUUCGAUUCCGGAGAGGGAGCCUGAGAAACGGCUACCACAUCCAAGGAAGGCAGCAGGCGCGCAAAUUACCCACUCCCGGCACGGGGAGGUAGUGACGAAAAAUAACGAUACGGGACUCAUCCGAGGCCCCGUAAUCGGAAUGAGUACACUCUAAACCCUUUAACGAGGAUCAAUUGGAGGGCAAGUCUGGUGCCAGCAGCCGCGGUAAUUCCAGCUCCAAUAGCGUAUAUUAAAGUUGUUGCGGUUAAAAAGCUCGUAGUCGAAUUUGUGUCCCGCGCCGCCGGUUCAUCGUUCGCGGUGUUAACUGGCGUGUCGCGGNNNNNNNNAAAGUUAGAGGUUCGAAGGCGAUCAGAUACCGCCCUAGUUCUAACCAUAAACGAUGCCAGCUAGCGAUCCGCCGACGUUCCUCCGAUGACUCGGCGGGCAGCUUCCGGGAAACCAAAGCUUUUGGGUUCCGGGGGAAGUAUGGUUGCAAAGCUGAAACUUAAAGGAAUUGACGGAAGGGCACCACCAGGAGUGGAGCCUGCGGCUUAAUUUGACUCAACACGGGAAACCUCACCAGGCCCGGACACCGGAAGGAUUGACAGAUUGAGAGCUCUUUCUUGAUUCGGUGGGUGGUGGUGCAUGGCCGUUCUUAGUUGGUGGAGCGAUUUGUCUGGUUAAUUCCGAUAACGAACGAGACUCUAGCCUGCUAACUAGGCGUAUUAGACAUCCUAAAGGCCCGCCAGUCCGGAGUUCGCUUCGUGGCUAGCGCGGUUUUUACUGUNUGCGUACAUUAUUUUCUUCUUAGAGGGACAGGCGGCUUCUAGCCGCACGAGAUUGAGCAAUAACAGGUCUGUGAUGCCCUUAGAUGUUCUGGGCCGCACGCGCGCUACACUGAAGGAAUCAGCGUGUCUUCCCUGGCCGAACGGCCCGGGUAACCCGCUGAACCUCCUUCGUGCUAGGGAUUGGGGCUUGCAAUUGUUCCCCAUGAACGAGGAAUUCCCAGUAAGCGCGAGUCAUAAGCUCGCGUUGAUUACGUCCCUGCCCUUUGUACACACCGCCCGUCGCUACUACCGAUUGAAUGAUUUAGUGAGGUCUUCGGACCGGUGCGCGGUGGCGUUUCGACGUCGCCGAUGUNGCNGGGAAGAUGACCAAACUUGAUCAUUUAGA
rnacentral:rRNA from 1 species